UACAGAGGCCUCGAGCGUUAGGCGGAAUCACUGGGCUUGAAGCGUGUGUAGGCGGACUUCUAAGUACCUUGUGAAAUCCCACGGCUCACCCGUGGAACUGCUCGGUAUACUGGUUGUCUUGAGCCUUCUAGGGGCGAGUGGAACAAAUGGUGGAGCGGUGAAAUGCGUAGAUAUCAUUUGGAACGCCAAUGGUCAAAACAACUCGCUGGGGAAGUGCUGACGCUGAGACACGAAAGCCAGGGGAGCGAACGGG
rnacentral:rRNA from 1 species